ensembl:snoRNA
UGCCUGUGAUGAGUAAAAUGAAUAAGAGUAGUGGACAGAAGUUAUUUCUGAGAGCUUGAAUCUGAGGGU